rnacentral:rRNA from 1 species
CCUACGGGAGGCAGCAGUAGGGAAUUUUCCGCAAUGGACGAAAGUUUGACGGAGCAACGCCGCGUGAGUGAUGAAGGCCUUCGGGUUGUAAAACUUUGUUGUUAGGGAAGAACAAGUAUCGUUCGAAUAGGGCGGUACCUUGACGGUACCUAACCAGAAAGCCACGGCUAACUACGUGCCAGCAGCCGCGGUAAUACGUAGGUGGCAAGCGUUGUCCGGAAUUAUUGGGCGUAAAGCGCGCGCAGGCGGUCCUUUAAGUCUGAUGUGAAAGCCCACGGCUCAACCGUGGAGGGUCAUUGGAAACUGGGGGACUUGAGUACAGAAGAGGAAAGUGGAAUUCCACGUGUAGCGGUGAAAUGCGUAGAGAUGUGGAGGAACACCAGUGGCGAAGGCGACUUUCUGGCCUGUAACUGACGCUGAGGCGCGAAAGCGUGGGGAGCAAACAGGAUUAGAUACCCUGGUAGUCCACGCCGUAAACGAUGAGUGCUAAGUGUUAGAGGGUUUCCGCCCUUUAGUGCUGCAGCUAACGCAUUAAGCACUCCGCCUGGGGAGUACGGUCGCAAGACUGAAACUCAAAGUGAAUUGACGG